rnacentral:lncRNA from 1 species
AGAGAGGUACACGUCUUCUUCGAGCCGCCAAGAACAUGCUACCUUUUAGUCAUUCAUUCAAAGAUUGUUUAUUCACGAGUGGUAGAGAAGAGUUUAGAGACCAGAUGGACAAAUCACUACUUAGGUAACUAAGUCACUUAACUCCUGAGCCUCAGAUUUCCUCAUCUUUAAAAUGGAAAGAGGGAGUUCCCCUUGUGGCGCAGCAGAAAUGAAUCUAACUAGGAUCCAUGAGGACACAGGUUCAGUCCCAGGCCUCGAUCAGUGGGUUAAGGAUUUGGCGUUGCCCUGAGGGGUAGUGUAGGCCAGCAGCUAUAGCUCCAAUUCAUCCCCUAGCCUGGGCCCCUCAGUAUGCCGUGGGUGUGGCCUUGGAGGGGAAAAAAAAAAAAAAAGGCAAAAAUAAAUAAAUAAAUAAAUGAAAUAAAAUAGAAAUAAAACCUUCUUUAUAGAUUGUCCUGAGAAUUAGAUGAAGUGACCAUAAGACAAUGGGUUCUGGGCUCAGAUUUUGCCUUCAUCACUUACUGUGUGACCUUAGGCCAGUUAAGUAAUCUUUUUCAUUCUCCAUUUCCUUUGCUGCAAAAUAGGGUUAAUCAUAAUAUUUUGGGUUAUUGUGACAUUGGGCUAUUGUGAGGAUUAAACCAAAUAAAGCUCGGAAGUGUUUAGUGUAGUGCCUGGCCCAUACUAAGUGCUCAUUAAAUGUUAGCUAUUAAUUACAACAAUAACAGCAAUGACAGUAAUGAUAGUCUUUAGGUGUUUAUUAUGCUAGGACAUCAAGUGGCAGAGGAAAGACUAGAAGGCAUAGUACAGAGUAGUGGCUCUGUAAGCGUUUUUCCUGCCAGCUUUCCUUGUGAGAGGGCCUGUAGGGACCGAGACAGGCUCUCCUUGGGUCCCAGCUUACAGCUUCCUACAGCGAAAGCUUCCCUUCCAGGCUGAGGUAAGAGGUUCAGAGAGACUUUGGGAGAGAGUGGGAGGACCAGUCUGGCAGGGUGGAGGGUUUGGUAAGGGCAGUGAAUGACUCUGGAAGGUAAAACUGGGGCCAGGUCACGGAGGGCCUUGAAUGCCAGGCCAAUUCUUUGUCUUAAGAACCACCCAUUCCCGAACUAAGGGGAGUCUCUCCCUUCCUGUCUUCUGCUUAAGCUUGUAAAAAUGGUAAUACCCUUUCAAAAUGAUAACAUUUACAUUUAAAGAACAACAACAAAACAAACACCCAUACCCCAUCCAGCUUCGAAGAUGUACUUGUUACCAGGCCCUUUGAGACACCCUGGGUGCUCUGCCCUCAGCAGCCCGCCUCCAGCCCCCCUCUGAAGGCUGUGCAGCAUUUUGUGUUAGUUACAUGGUGUUUUCUCUCUCUCCGUCCUUUCUCUUCCUCUUUUAAAAAUGGAUUUUCCCCGCUUAUCCUGGUCUUUUGGGGACAGUGCGCAGGGUCUGUGGAGCCCAGCGGGGGCCAUGUGGCCCGCCUCUUGCCUGGCUGGGCUGGGAGGAGGGCCGGAGAAGCUGUGCCCCCCGGGAGGGGCACUGUGCUGGGGGAGGGGGGCUGGGGAGACGGGCCGGCUUCCUUGGGCUGUCCUGAAGCGCAGGCCCAGAGGCUGGGCAGCUUUGGUGGAGAGGCUCCAGAGGGGAGUUCAGCGCCUCUGAGGCCAGCGGCUGGAGGCUAUUGCCUGCUGUUCAGCGCCAUGGGAGGGUGGGGGCACCUUUUGAGACCCCUAGCCAUUCUUUGGUGUGCUAGGGAGCUUCAGGGCUGACAUAAUGCCAGAUGUGGCCAGGGUGACUUUAGCAGGCCUGCCUCUCAUUUUCACCUCAUGCAUUUUUGGCAGUGUUGAUUGUGCCAGUCGUUAAAUUAUGUUUGCGGCUUUGCUUUUCUGUAAAACCUUGGGGUUUUUUGCUCUGCCUUUACUUUCCUGGUGCAUCUUUGAAUCUUUGAAUACCAGUCGGUAACCGUGGACUGCAAGUAACACUGCGAAAACAAAACAAUAUGGGCCUGCCUGGGAGAAGAGGGGCCAUUGGAGGCCCAGCAAGGGCCUUGGUCCCACUCCCUCCACAGCGCCGCCCCCCACUCACCAUUCACCACAGUUAUUCUCUGGUGGCCAGAAAGUUGAAUUUAGAAGCCUUCCAUCCGGAUGUAGUUCAGUGGUACAGACUGAAGGAGCCCCGGUGUGCUAGGUACUGUGGGGGAACCCUAGUGAGCUGGAACUGGUUAUGCCUUUGAGUGAUUCACAUUCUAGAUGUGAAAACAAGGCUUCCAGUGCAUAUGCAGUUAAGGCAGUACAAGGGCCAAAUGCAGAAUGUAACCACAUUUUUCUGAUCACCAAUGUAACACAGGGUUGUUGAAGAUAAUUUCAAACAUGAAAAGAAACAUACAGUGUAGAAAGUCCCCCACAGUCUGACUCUUACCUCAAAUAGCCAUUGUUAUCUGUUACUGUUUGAGGAGGUAAAAUUUGAGCUGACCAUCAGGUAAAAUCUGGAGAGGUGGACUGACAGAAGGAGAGCUCUGAUCUCCUCCAGGGAGGUGCACUCCACCGGCUUCCUGGCAAGUGCUGAGCCGGCUUCUGCUUGGACACCUUGGUGACACGGGGCCAGCAUGCCCAAGUAGGAACUAACCAGUGCUCAGUCCCACCUUGUGUCUGGGUGCUAGUGUGUUGGGUACCAUACAGAUGUUAUUGAAUCCCCAUCACAACCUGAUAAAACCAGGUAACUUAUCCUUGUUUUACAAGUAGGAACACGGAGACUCAGAGGUUACCUGCCAGGUAUGUGGAAGUUCCCAGGCUAGGGGUCGAAUCAGAGCUGUAGCUGCUGGCCUACCCCACAGCAACACGGGAUCCAAGCCCUGUCUGUGACCUACACCACUGCUCACGGCAGUGUCGGAUCCUUAACCCACUGAUUGGGGCCAGGGAUUGAACCUGCAUCCUCAUGGAUACUAGUCGGGUUAGUUACCUCUGAGCCACAAUGGCAACUCCUCUUACACCUCGUUUUCUCUCUUGUUCUAACAUGAUCCACAUCAUCUCUGCACUCACAUUAAUUCUGUAGACGGCCUCUCUGUCGUCCCUGCCGUCCCUCAUACUUCCUUACAUUUCCUCCCUCUGCUUCCACUCCUUCCCUGCUCUUCAUCCUUGCUCCACCAUGUCUCUCAUCCCCCUGCUUUCCAUUCUCUUACCUAACCCCCCAUGUCCUCAUUACCUGUCUCCUGUCUGUUGUGGCAGCCGUCUGACUCGCCUCCUUGCUGCUGGUCUCAUUCAUUCAUAUACCAGGAUAGUUUCUCAAAGUACACUUCUCAACAUGCCACAUCUCUGUGCUAAACAUAAAAAAAUAAAUGUUCACGGGAGUUCCCAUUGUGGUGCAUUGGCAUCUGUGGUGUCUUGGGAGCACUGGGACACAGUUUCCAUUCUUGCCAGGCACAAUGGGUUAAGGAUCCAGUGUUGCUGCAGCUGCCGCUUAGGUCAAAACUGGCUCAGACCUGAUCUGAUCCCUGGCUGGGGAAAUCCAUAUGCCGCAGGGCGGCCAACAAAUAAAUAAAAUGUUCUUGGAGUUCCCUGAUAGCCUAUCGGUUAAGGAUCAGUAUUGUCACUGCUGGAG